GGCUCGAUCAAUACUCCAAUGACAACAAGAAUAUUUAUUUAGAAAACAGCAACAAAUUUUAGGUAAAUGCGUAGUAAGUUGACGGUUUAGUAGCCUCGUUCCACUGCGCUCCAGAAGAUUCUACGCCGAAGCCGGUCUAUAAAAGCGUGCCGGUAUGCCGGCUCCCCAUCAUUUACUAACCAGUCAUCGCUACAUUCACAUCAAGAGAAUAGUCGAAAACUCCAAAUUAUAUUUUUAACCAUUUUGACUUAUUUAACAUAAAUUAACUGGUGACAACAACAUCGAAGGAUCAUGUAAAGGCAGCAAUUGUGCGUGCGGAGCGCGCUAAUAACCCAGUGCCCUACGGGCUUGGCGUAAUAAGUAAUCCGUACACUUCAGCUUUUACCAUUCAUCUCAUGCUCCUUUGCUGGGUUAGGUUUAAUCAAACUCUGCCCAUUCUCAAUGAAUAAUUCAAGCAAGUUAUAGUGCUUGCUUUGAACAUUCGGGAUGUAGCGUCAACAGCAUUAUCGCCGAAUAUACAAACGGUGACAUACAAUAUCAAUUAAUGGAAGCAGAUUAAGUUAUGUAUGUAAAGUUUAAUUUAAAAAAAGAAAACAAACAAAAAAUUCAAUAAAAGCGAAUAGAUUAAGAUCCGGAUAGGUAGGAGCUCAUAAGCGGGCCCCGCUCGCUGGGCUUUUGAGUUUGAGAGCCAGGAUAAGAUACCGUCAUAAAAA